CGGGGCAUGGCGCAGCUUGGUGUGCCAUCUUGGGGUGGUGGAGGUCGUGGGUUCAAAUCCCGCUGCUCCGA
rnacentral:tRNA from 1 species